UUUAGUUUUUAUUUUAUAGAAAAAAAAUAUUAAUUUUUAACAGCUCCUACCACAGUCAUCACCCGCCAGAAAUUGGACUUUUAACUUUAGUGGAAGUCAACAAGGAACAUCAGAUACACCAAACAACAGGAACACGAUGAAAAUAGAAAUGGUGGUCUAUGAUGCUAGAUGUACAGAUGCUGGCUUGUAUUUCUGUAAUGCUACCUACAUUAGCUCAGCGAGGAAUUAUUACCAACAGUUCACUAUCAAAAUGUCUCCAGCAUAAGGUCCGAAACAACUAACCUUCACCUAGAAGUACGGCCCUUCUAGCUCUGACGUCAACAGUUUCACAUCAUAUCCUGUACAAAACGCUAUAUCAGUUGAUGAACCUGUGCUGGUCAGUUCUUGGAAAACAUGUGUCCAGUACCGUCAUACGUCAACACUGAAGUUUCAAGACAAGUAAGAUGGCUACAUGUAGGUAUGUGUGGCUACAGAAAACAACAGAGACACAACUGUUAGGAAUAUGACGAUGUAGACUAAACAGGCACAAACAGCAGCCAGUGUUACGAUGAAACCGGUGAGAGGUCACAAUUUAGGUGGGAAACCUAUGAGAGGUCAAGUGUGGUGGAAAACCUGUGAGACUUUAUACAUUUGGUGGGAAACCUGUGAGAUUUUACACAAUUAGGACACGAUGUAACAAGAGGGACAAGCGUCCGUCAAAUAGGAGCCAUUAAAACUGACUACAUCUCAUUGUAUUGAAACAACAUCAGAUUUUUAUAGAAGGGGACACAACUUAUAUCCUUAUGUUGAUCAAGCAACUAUGAAUACAACUGUUUCAUGAACCGCUAUUUUUUCAAUUUUUUUUUAGAUUUACACGCUCAUUUAUCUUUGUUUUUUAAGGUUAGCACAUUUUUUGGUUAUAUUUGUAAUUAUGACUUGCCUACAUUUUAUAUCUGUUACUCUGUAGGCCAAUUAAAUUUCGAUUAUCCCGAAUAGCGGGAUAGUCGCUUGCCCCAAAUAUAUUUCCCUGAACGCUACACUUUUAUAAGAAAUCCAAAUAUAAUUUCAUUUACAUAUCCUUGUUGUUUAAAUUUAUUGUUAAAGAUAGUUCCGGGAACUCCUAUACUAUGGGAUUGAAAUCUUUGCUUUGGGGCAUAUUUCAGACGGUGUAAAUAGUCCUGGCCACAUCUGAAAUAUUUUUAAUUCAACGAAUAAAUAUAAAAAGUUUUUAUUUCUUUUCUGACGUAUUUGUUGAUUAACGAGUUGUAUAUUGAACUAGCCCUGAGUACCUGUUUCCCGUGAAUUAUAGGCCUAUAUAUUUGUUACUGUUAUCCUUGUUUGGAAAAAUAAUAUAUAAGAUAGUUAAUGGUAAACACGCUAUGUGCUUUACUACACGUUGAACGAUUUUAGUGACAAAGCAAAGAAAUAAUUUAAUAUUAUUAGUCAACACAUCACUAUAUUAAAUGCCCCCACUGAUUAAGAGACUUUAAUGCUCAAUGAUAUUAUUUUAUUUUUUAAAAGUAAUUUGUGCUAUUUUUU